AGCAAUGUGGUGCAGUGGUUUGAGUGUUGGAUUAGGACUCUGGAGACCAGGGUUCAAAUCCUAGCUCGGCCA
rnacentral:tRNA from 1 species